CAGGUUUACCUGUGUGACUGCGUACCUUUUGUAUAAUGGGUCAGCGACUUAUAUUCUGUAGCAAGGUUAACCGAAUAGGGGAGCCGGAGGGAAACCGAGUCUUAAUUGGGCGUUAAGUUGCAGGGUAUAGACCCGAAACCCGGUGAUCUAGCCAUGGGCAGGUUGAAGGUUGGGUAACACUAACUGGAGGACCGAACCGACUAAUGUUGAAAAAUUAGCGGAUGACCUGUGGCUGGGGGUGAAAGGCCAAUCAAACCGGGAGAUAGCUGGUUCUCCCCGAAAGCUAUUUAGGUAGCGCCUCGUGAAUUCAUCUCCGGGGGUAGAGCACUGUUUCGGCUAGGGGGCCAUCCCGGCUUACCAACCCGAUGCAAACUGCGAAUACCGGAGAAUGUUAUCACGGGAGACACACGGCGGGUGCUAACGUCCGUCGUGAAGAGGGAAACAACCCAGACCGCCAGCUAAGGUCCCAAAGUCAUGGUUAAGUGGGAAACGAUGUGGGAAGGCCCAGACAGCCAGGAUGUUGGCUUAGAAGCAGCCAUCAUUUAAAGAAAGCGUAAUAGCUCACUGGUCGAGUCGGCCUGCGCGGAAGAUGUAACGGGGCUAAACCAUGCACCGAAGCUGCGGCAGCGAACGUAUCACCCAAGACAACUUUACGGAGUUGACGAUUGACGGAGCGAAGCGACGUCAAAGCGUUCAUUAAAGUCGAGUUGGCUUAGGGAUACGUUCGUUGGGUAGGGGAGCGUUCUGUAAGCCUGUGAAGGUGUGUCGUGAGGCAUGCUGGAGGUAUCAGAAGUGCGAAUGCUGACAUAAGUAACGAUAAAGCGGGUGAAAAGCCCGCUCGCCGGAAGACCAAGG
rnacentral:rRNA from 1 species